AAAGCAUUAAUAUAACCAUCAGCCAAGUUGCUUGACCCAAAAUUGCGAUGACAAUACUCACUGGCUAAAUCAUUAACAUACUUUGCCAAGAUUUCGUUUGUCUCUCUGCAUUUCUUUUUAGAUACAAAUCUAUUCUGGGGAUAUGCUUGCAUCAGUUGCUGCUGUCUAUAUUUGUCUCCUGAGCUUCCUCUAACUGAGGUAAUUAGUCCCUCUAACAUUGCAGAUACUGCAAUUGCUCCUCCUGAGGAGACCGUAUCGUCAUUAACAACUCCUCCAUAUGAUGAAGAAAUUCCAUUGCCGCUAUUAUUAUGAUUAUUAUUAUUAUUAGAAGAAGAAUGCUGUCCUAACACUCCUCCACCAUUCAAAGCUGUUGUUAAUGAUGAGCUACUACCUGAAUUUGAAUUAAUAUUUGUACCUGAUAUUGUCAUUGAAGAUGAAUGAUCAUCAGUAGUGUUUCUACAAGUACUACCUCCCUCUAAAACAGUUGUUGAAUUACCUUCGAUUCCUCCUCCAUUCAUAGUAAUAUCUGUCUGAUUCUUCAAUGACCCUCUUCUUUUAAUUCCUCUUGAAGGAAUUCUUCCUGAUCCUGUUGUUAUUGUUUGAGAAACUGAAUUCUUUGAUUGAUGAUCAUUUAUUCCUUCAGUAGUAUUCACAGAAUCCAUUAUCUCUUGUGAUUUAACAACAGCUUCUGAAACCAC
rnacentral:antisense_RNA from 1 species